rnacentral:rRNA from 1 species
GUCUCCUCCCCAAAGGGCCCCCGGUUUUGAUAUUUCCCCGCCCCCCGGGGGGAGGGGGUGUUUUCGCCCCCCCCCACUGGGGGAUUAAAAAAACCCCCCGCCCCCCAUUUUCUCUCGGGGGGGGGGCCCCCCUUGUGGGGAAAUUUCUCCGCCAAAAGGGGAAAAAAUUUUUUCCCCCAGAGAAAACCCCCCGGGGAAGUAGAAAAAAGUUUUUUUCGGAUUUGAAAAAAUCUUUUGUUUUUAAGAAGAGAACAAAGGGCCGUUUUGGAAAAUUGAAACUUCCCCCGGGGGGGUAUUUUAACCCAGAAAAGCCCCGGGUUAAAUUACGUGCCCCGCAGGCGCGGGUAAAUACGUAGGGUGGCCAAGCGUUUUUCCGGAUUUUUUUGGGCGUAAAAGCGAGGCGCCGGGCGGUUUUUUUAAGUUUUGAUUUGAAAAGCCCCCGGGUUCAACCCGGGGGAGGGUCAUUGGAAACUGGGAGACUUGAGUGCAGAAGAGGAGAGUGGAAUUCCCAUGUGUAGCGGUGAAAUGCGUAGAUAUAUGGAGGAACACCCAGUGGCGAAGGCGGCUCUCUGGUCUGUAACUGACGCUGAGGCUCGAAAGCGUGGGGAGCAAACAGGAUUAGAUACCCUGGUAGUCCACGCCGUAAACGAUGAGUGCUAAGUGUUGGAGGGUUUCCGCCCUUCAGUGCUGCAGCAAACGCAUUAAGCACUCCGCCUGGGGAGUACGACCGCAAGGUUGAAACUCAAAGGAAUUGACGGGGGCCCGCACAAGCGGUGGAGCAUGUGGUUUAAUUCGAAGCAACGCGAAGAACCUUACCAGGUCUUGACAUCCUUUGACCACUCUAGAGAUAGAGCUUUCCCUUCGGGGACAAAGUGACAGGUGGUGCAUGGUUGUCGUCAGCUCGUGUCGUGAGAUGUUGGGUUAAGUCCCGCAACGAGCGCAACCCUUAUUGUUAGUUGCCAUCAUUUAGUUGGGCACUCUAGCGAGACUGCCGGUGACAAACCGGAGGAAGGUGGGGAUGACGUCAAAUCAUCAUGCCCCUUAUGACCUGGGCUACACACGUGCUACAAUGGGAAGUACAACGAGUCGCUAGACCGCGAGGUCAUGCAAAUCUCUUAAAGCUUCUCUCAGUUCGGAUUGCAGGCUGCAACUCGCCUGCAUGAAGCCGGAAUCGCUAGUAAUCGCGGAUCAGCACGCCGCGGUGAAUACGUUCCCGGGCCUUGUACACACCGCCCGUCACACCACGAGAGUUUGUAACACCCGAAGUCGGUGAGGUAACCUUUUUGGAGCCAGCCGCCCCCGUCUGAGGCGGCCCCAUGUUUUGGGCAAGCGUUCUCCCCUGUGUUUUGC